GGUCGUAGGAAGGCAUGGAGGCUGGAGUCUUAGUGGAGAAAAGGUCAUCGCUUUGUAAACUGAUCCGAUUGUAAAUUGCAGAGCUAGGACAUGCUGCUAGCCUAUUAUUAGUUUAUGCAAUGUCACUGCAUAACUAUAAAUUCAUUCUAGGCCGACUGCCCAUUACUGUUUCAAAACAGCCAAAUUAACGAUGCAAUCCUCUUAACCUAAGCUUCAAUGGUAAAAGGUUUACUGCUCGCCUUUUCCUUUGUGGAAUUGCAAGGAUGCUCUCAUGUCCCAGCAAGGUUUGAAGGCAUUAAUUUGGGCAUGGAGGGUGGAGUCUUAGAAAAACGAAUGAUUAGAUUCCCUCAUUUUUUUUUUCAAGAAAUUUUAUCCUAUAAAUUCUUCAUCACAGUGGACACUUGCAUCACACACCUGCAUCACUAUCUCAGUUUGAAUCAAAAUACGAAGUAUGCUAAUGUAAGUAGUGUAAGUAUGCUUAUGUAAUCGCUGGGAAUCGCUGGCGCAAGGGUAGAUCAAUAUAAAUGGAAACCGCUCUCUUUGUUCUUCUUAGAAUACGAAGUAUGCUAAUCUUCAAUGGAAUAAGGCCUUUAGAGUCUUAGGGACUAACACGAAUGUCAUAGCUGGGACUUGCUGCUCGCCUUUUCUUAUUAAAUGUAAGUCUUCUCAUUCGUUACGUUUUGGGACCUAGACUGUGAAUUUCUACUGCAUUGUUCCUUGUUUGUUCUUUGUUUACUGUUUCAGAACCUGUAAAAUUUGGAUACAUACCUCUUCUCGUGAAACGUUUAAUGUGCCAGCGAGGUUUGAAGGCGUUACUUUGGGCAUGGAGGGGGGAGUCUUGGUGGAGAAUACAUUUCUGCCAUGGCACAAAGAAUCCUUUGCAAACUACGCUUUCAUUCUAGGCCAACUCCUUAUAACUGUUUCAAACCGCCAAAAUUAGAAUGCAAUCCUCCUCACCUAAGGUAGACAAAACUACCUACUAAACUGAAUUUCAAUUUAAACCAACACAAGUAAUAAUGCAGCGCUAGGAUGCUCUCUACGGUAAAAGACAUGAAUCUUCUAUGGCGCAAGGCUGCACUCUAUGUCGGACGUAUGCUUAUCUAGCUUUGAUGAAUUAAGAAGUUUAGAGUAUUUUCCAGUGAUGCGACUUCCCAUUGCUGUUUCGGAACCUACAAAUUUUGGAUGCAAUUCGCCUCUCCUAAGUUAAACACUAUUCCUUCUCGAGAAAAAUCAAUUAACCCUUCAUUUACAAUAGUACAUACUUACUUUUCCAAGAAUUUAUCGCAGUGUUGAUUUGUUAAAUGUCACUACGU